rnacentral:rRNA from 1 species
AUGCAGUCGAACGGCAGCACGGGAGUAAUCCUGGUGGCGAGUGGCGAACGGGUGAGUGAUAUAUCGGAACGUGCCCAGUCGUGGGGGAUAACGCAGCGAAAGCUGUGCUAAUACCGCAUACGAUCUCUGGAUGAAAGCGGGGGACUCGCAAGAGCCUCGCGCGAUUGGAGCGGCCGAUAUCAGAUUAGCUAGUUGGUGGGGUAAAGGCCCACCAAGGCGACGAUCUGUAGCUGGUCUGAGAGGACGACCAGCCACACUGGAACUGAGACACGGUCCAGACUCCUACGGGAGGCGGCAGUGGGGAAUUUUGGACAAUGGGCGCAAGCCUGAUCCAGCAAUGCCGCGUGCAGGAUGAAGGCCUUCGGGUUGUAAACUGCUUUUGUACGGAACGAAAAGGUCUGCCUUAAUACGGUGGGCCCAUGACGGUACCGUAAGAAUAAGCACCGGCUAACUACGUGCCAGCAGCCGCGGUAAUACGUAGGGUGCGAGCGUUAAUCGGAAUUACUGGGCGUAAAGCGUGCGCAGGCGGUUAUAUAAGACAGAUGUGAAAUCCCCGGGCUCAACCUGGGACCUGCAUUUGUGACUGUAUAGCUAGAGUACGGUAAAGGGGGGAUGGAAUUCCGCGUGUAGCAGUGAAAUGCGUAGAUAUGCGGAGGAACACCGAUGGGCGAAAGCAUCCCCUGGACCUGUACUGACGCUCAUGCACGAAAG